rnacentral:rRNA from 2 species
AUCUGGGCGGCGGAAUUCAGGAUGGCUGGCGUGCUCUCGUGGUGCGUCGGUCGUUUGAUAUUUCCGUCGCCAACUCACGCAGACGUCGCGACCUGUUCGCGGUCGGUCCCUGCUCGGAGGAGCCGCGUUCGAGCUCGUUGUGUGCGCGUUUCGGCGUGUCACACGGUGAAGGCGCGGAUCUCUGGCUGGCCGUCGGACAGUAUGCUUAACGGUGUCCGGUGUCGUCGUCUCGUACGCGCGGCAUCGGUACCGGUCAGCGACGAAUUCUUCGGGCCUCUUUCCGACCCGUCUUGAAACACGGACCAAGGAGUCUAACAUGCGCGCGAGUCGCGGGGUAUCGAGCGUACUUUGGUGCGUUCGUUAUGCUGCGAAACCCGUACAUGUUGAAGGCGUAAUGAAAGUGAAUGGGGAAGAUGGUGUUCCGAGUUCACGUUCCGCGAUCAUCGGUAUCGCGGCCGGACGCCCGCAUUCCCGGGGCGUCUCAACGGCCCGUCGCUGAUGCGGACAGUCGUCUCUCGGGGGCGGCUGUCGGUCGGCGAUGAACCGA